rnacentral:rRNA from 1 species
AAUAGGGGCAACCCUUAGUAGAGCGGCGCACGGGUGCGUAACACGUGGAUAAUCUGCCUGGAUGCCUGGGAUAACCAGUCGAAAGAUUGGCUAAUACCGGAUAAGCCCACGGUCUCCUCGGAGACUGAGGGAAAAGGUGGCCUCUGUAUACAAGCUAUCACAACCAGAUGAGUCCGCGGCCCAUCAGCUAGUUGGCGGGGUAAUGGCCCACCAAGGCAACGACGGGUAGCUGGUCUGAGAGGACGAUCAGCCACACUGGAACUGAGACACGGUCCAGACUCCUACGGGAGGCAGCAGUGGGGAAUUUUGCGCAAUGGGCGAAAGCCUGACGCAGCAACGCCGCGUGUGUGAUGAAGGUCUUUGGAUUGUAAAGCACUUUCGACCGGGACGAAACCGUAAAGCCUAAUACGCUUUGCCUUGACGGUACCGGGAGAAGAAGCACCGGCUAACUCUGUGCCAGCAGCCGCGGUAAUACAGAGGGUGCAAGCGUUGUUCGGAAUUAUUGGGCGUAAAGCGCGUGUAGGCGGCUUUGCAAGUCGGGUGUGAAAGCCCUCAGCUCAACUGAGGAAGUGCGCCCGAAACUGCAGAGCUUGAGUGCCGGAGAGGGUGGCGGAAUUCCCCAAGUAGAGGUGAAAUUCGUAGAUAUGGGGAGGAACACCGGUGGCGAAGGCGGCCACCUGGACGGUAACUGACGCUGAGACGCGAAAGCGUGGGUAGCAAACAGGAUUAGAUACCCUGGUAGUCCACGCCGUAAACGAUGAGAACUAGGUGUCGUGGGAGUUGACCCCCGCGGUGCCGUA